AAAAAAUUUGCAACAUCCGGACGUACGAUCCCUAGAUGGCUUUCGAGCUUCGCUCGACGCCAUAAUAAAAACUAUGAUGCUCUACUCCAGCUUAAAUCAUACAGCGCAUUUGUUUUAAACCAAGUUUUGCGUCUGUGACGAGGCGUCACAAAACGUAUCACUGCUUAUCCAGGCGACGAGUUCACGAGAGAAGGUACAAAGUAUAAGAAAUCUUAGAGAAACUGACGGAAGCUUGUGUAAAGUAGAAUAUUUUAGAAACUUAUUGUCAAAUUACAAAGCAAAGAUUGACAACUAUUUACCAGUAAAGUUUUUUCUUUGCAUGUAAAAUCCCAGCGCUGAUAGAUCAGGGACAGGGUUAGCGUCAGACCGGACGUCCCAAGAACCCACAGAAGCGUCCCCUAGCGGAUUCAGCUGAAAGGACCGUUGUCUAAAUACAAACAAGUUGGAGUUUAAAGUUAUGAACAAGUUGCGUUCAAAAAUUACUGAUGAUCUUAGCGAUAGUGCUACUUACGGUUUGGAAUACGUGGUACAGCAGGAGGUAAACGUAACGGCAAUCGGCGAGAACGUGACGUCAACAAAAACUGUCAUUGAGGCUCCCUUGGGGAUAAACGUCCGGUUAUGGUUUUUCAAUGCUGUAGGAAGAUCAACAAGGAACUGUCACAUACAGGUUCCAAGAUUAAAACUUACAAAUUAAAAUAAAUCAGUUUCUGAUAAAAUCGAUCUUUUAAAUAUUGUUUAACAUUAACAAAUCCUGAAAUAUGUACAUCCACAUGCGUUGCUAUGGCGAUAAAUAAUACGAUAAUUAUAAUAUCAAAAGUUAAAUAUAAGAACCGAUCACCCAAUAGAUACCUUCCGACACGAGGUUUGGACAAGCAAACAGGAUUCUGUCGUUAAUCAUCAGCUGGACAGCGUACGCAUCGAUGGCGAUACUCAUCCAAUUCAUGGCCACCGGACCUACAGUCAGAACACAGGCAUUUACUGGAUUUUCCAAGUCUCUGACCCCCCCCCCCCCCCCCCCCCCCCCCCCGCCCCGAACAAUAUAUUUCAUCAAAUUGGUUUCUUAAUUCCAGAGCCAUACAACUCAAUUAAGUUGUUAUGGACUAGUGAUAUCUGUGAUAUCGAUACCCGUAAGAUGAUAGAGCGGGUUGUGAGUUAUCAGUGCUACCUCAGUGCUAUCAUUGAGUUACUUUUAAUUAGUGCAUCACGGAUAUCUGUACAAUAUCCUAUAGUUGUUUUGUAAUGUUUUGAGAGUUAUGAGAAAGAUAUCAGUGUUACUAGUAUGAUGUCAAAGUGUUAGUAGCUUGAUACCAGUGUUACUAGAAAUUCCAGAUUUACUAUAAUAUUUAAAAAUUUACAGUGCUGUCUAUAAAAGUGUUAU
rnacentral:sRNA from 1 species